CUCGGACUGAGGUAUGUUUUGAGAAAGUUAGAUGGUUCUUGUUCUACAAGCUGAGAGUGUUUAAACACUUGUCUUCAUCCACAAAGGAGGAAACAUAGCCCAGAGGGAGGAUGGUUCUCCGUCCCAUUUGUCCAUCACUACCAUGACUUUCUCCUGUGAGGCUUAAUCACCCUCAGAAAAAGGUGAGGGUUUUCUCUCCAGUGCAGUGCUAGCUAACCUCUGGGAGGCCAUGCCAGUGGUGGGUGAGGCCACUCCAAACUCACGAACGUGCAUACGAAACAGCCACGCACAUCAGCAGG